GAUGAACGCUGGCGGCGUGCUUAACACAUGCAAGUCGAACGAGAAAUGGAGACGGAAACCUUCGGGCGGAAGGCUUCAUUUCGAGUGGCGGACGGGUGAGUAACGCGUGGGUAACCUGCCUCAUACAGGGGGAUAACAGUUUGAAACGACUGUUAAUACCGCAUAAGACCACAGCACCGCAUGGUGCGGGGGUAAAAACUCCGGUGGUAUGAGAUGGACCCGCGCUCGAUUAGCCAGUUGGCGGGGUAACGGCCCACCAAAGCGACGAUCGAUAGCCGAUCUGAGAGGAUGACCGGCCACAUUGGGACUGAGACACGGCCCAAACUCCUACGGGAGGCAGCAGUGGGGAAUAUUGCACAAUGGGGGAAACCCUGAUGCAGCGACGCCGCGUGAGUGAAGAAGUACUUCGGUAUGUAAAGCUCUAUCAGCAGGGAAGAAAAUGACGGUACCUGAGUAAGAAGCCCCGGCUAACUACGUG
rnacentral:rRNA from 1 species